rnacentral:ncRNA from 1 species
CCGCAAUCCUAAAAACGCGGGGCGACCGGUGACGGCGACCACCUAAAAAGCCUA